GACGAACGCUGGCGGCGUGCCUAAUACAUGCAAGUCGAACGCAGUGGGGACGGGUGAGUAACACGUGGCUAACCUCCCAUCAGAGGGGAUAACACUUGGAAACAGGUGCUAAACUGAUAUUGAUGGAUGGACUCGCGGUGCAUUCGCUAGUUGGUGAGGUAACGGCGCACCAAGGCUACGAUGCAGAGCCGGCGUGAGAGGGUGAACGGCCACACUGGGACUGAGACACGGCCCAGACUCCUACGGGAGGCAGCAGUAGGGAAUCUGCGGCAAUGGACGAAAGUCUGACCGAGCAACGCCGCGUGAGUGAAGAAGGUUUUCGGAUCGUAAAGCUCUGUUGUUAGAGAGGCGGUAUCUAACCAGGAAGCCACGGCUAACUACGUGCCAGCCGCCGCGGUAAUAC
rnacentral:rRNA from 1 species